GAUGAACGCUGGCGGCGUGCCUAAUACAUGCAAGUCGAGCGAACGGACGAGAAGCUUGCUUCUCUGAUGUUAGCGGCGGACGGGUGAGUAACACGUGGAUAACCUACCUAUAAGACUGGGAUAACUUCGGGAAACCGGAGCUAAUACCGGAUAAUAUUUUGAACCGCAUGGUUCAAAAGUGAAAGACGGUCUUGCUGUCACUUAUAGAUGGAUCCGCGCUACAUUAGCUAGUUGGUAAGGUAACGGCUUACCAAGGCAACGAUGCAUAGCCGACCUGAGAGGGUGAUCGGCCACACUGGAACUGAGACACGGUCCAGACUCCUACGGGAGGCAGCAGUAGGGAAUCUUCCGCAAUGGGCGAAAGCCUGACGGAGCAACGCCGCGUGAGUGAUGAAGGCCUUCGGAUCGUAAAACUCUGUUAUUAGGGAAGAACAUAUGUGUAAGUAUCUGUGCACAUCUUGACGGUACCUAAUCAGAGAGCCACGGCUAACUACGUG
rnacentral:rRNA from 1 species